GACGAACGCUGGCGGCGUGCUUAACACAUGCAAGUCGAGCGGUAAGGCCCUUUCGGGGGUACACGAGCGGCGAACGGGUGAGUAACACGUGGGUGACCUGCCCUCAGCUCUGGGAUAAGCCUGGGAAACCGGGUCUAAUACUGGAUAUGACUCCAUGACGCAUGUUGUGGGGUGGAAAGCCUUGUGCGGCUGAGGAUGGGCCCGCGGCCUAUCAGCUUGUUGGUGGGGUGAUGGCCUACCAAGGCGACGACGGGUAGCCGGCCUGAGAGGGCGACCGGCCACACUGGGACUGAGACACGGCCCAGACUCUUACGGGAGGCAGCAGUGGGGAAUCUUGCGCAAUGGGCGAAAGCCUGACGCAGCGACGCCGCGUGAGGGAUGACGGCCUGG
rnacentral:rRNA from 1 species